rnacentral:rRNA from 1 species
GAUGAACGCUAGCUACAGGCUUAACACAUGCAAGUCGAGGGACCGGCGCACGGGUGAGUAACACGUAUCCAACCUGCCCUUUACUCGGGGAUAGCCUUUCGAAAGAAAGAUUAAUACCCGAUGUAAAGGAUGGGGAUGCGUUCCAUUAGGUUGUUGGUGAGGUAACGGCUAACCAAGCCUUCGAAGGAUAGGGGUUCUGAGAGGAAGGACCCCCACAUUGGAACUAAGACACGGACCAAACUCCUACGGGAGGCAGCAGUGAGGGCUAUUGGUCAAUCGGCGUUAGCCUGGACCAGCCAAGUGGCGUGAAGGAUGAAGGCUUAUGGGUCGUAAACUUCUUUUAUAUAAGAAUAGGUAUUAUAUGAAUAAGGAUCGGCUAACUCCGUGCCAGCAGCCGCGGUAAUAC